AUAGCUGAUUGCACCAACAAAUAGUCGAUGCAAUAUUGACUCUGUCAAAUAAAAUUCUAGGUAGAAUUAUGAUAAUGACAUUGUCUGCCUAUAUGUCUUGACCAAAUUACGUGCCAGCAGUCGCGGUAAUACGUAGAAGACUAGUGUUAUUCAUCUUUAAUAGGUUUAAAGGGUACCUAGACGGUAAAUCAAGCCUUCACAGGGACUAAUUUACUAGAGUUACUUACGAGGGGGUAUUAAAGUACUGCAGGUGUAGGGAUGAAAUUCUGUCAUACCUCUUUUCGAAAGAAAAAUUAUGGCACAGGUAUAGGUGAAAGCAUCCCCUUAUGUGAUAACUGACGUUGAAGGACGAAGGCUUUGUGUCGCGAACAGGAUUAGAUACCCCAGUAGUCAAAGCAGAAAAUGAUGAAUGUCAUAGAUUAGAUAAAUAGUUUAUUCUAUAAAUGAAAAUGUAAGCAUUCCACCUCAAGAGUAAUUUGGCAACAUUGGAACUGAAAUCAUUAGACCGUUUCUGAAACCAGUAGUGAAGUAUGUUGUUUAAUUUGAUGAUCCGCAAAAAACCUUACCACAAUUUGAAUAUUUAUAUUUAUCUUUUUUUUCGUAAAAAAUAAAAAGGUAAUAUAUUUACAAGCGUUGCACGGCUGUCUUCAGUUAAUGUCGCGAGACUUUGGUUAGUUCCAUUAAAUUAACGUAAACCCUUACUUUAUUUUUAUAUAAAGUAGUUCCCCGCUAUAUUGGAUAUGAUAA
rnacentral:rRNA from 1 species